rnacentral:rRNA from 1 species
UACGUAGGGUGCGAGCGUUAAUCGGAAUUACUGGGCGUAAAGCGUGCGCAGGCGGUUUUGUAAGCCAGAUGUGAAAUCCCCGGGCUCAACCUGGGAAUGGCAUUUGGAACUGCAAGACUAGAGUAUGGCAGAGGAGACUAGAAUUUCUGGUGUAGCAGUGAAAUGCGUAGAUAUCAGAAGGAAUACCGAUGACGAAGGCAGGUCUCUGGGUCAAUACUGACGCUCAUGCACGAAAGCUAGGGUAGCAAAUGGG